rnacentral:rRNA from 1 species
AGUGAACGCUGGCGGUAGGCCUAACACAUGCAAGUCGAACGGCAGCACAGUAAGAGCUUGCUCUUACGGGUGGCGAGUGGCGGACGGGUGAGGAAUACAUCGGAAUCUACUUUUUCGUGGGGGAUAACGUAGGGAAACUUACGCUAAUACCGCAUACGACCUACGGGUGAAAGCAGGGGAUCUUCGGACCUUGCGCGAUUGAUUGAGCCGAUGUCGGAUUAGCUAGUUGGCGGGGUAAAGGCCCACCAAGGCGACGAUCCGUAGCUGAUCUGGGAGGAUGAUAAGCAAGAAUGGAACUGAAGCACGGACCAGAUGCAGGCAGGAAGCAGCAGUAGGGAAUAUUGGUCAAUGGGGACAAGCAUGAUCCAGCCAUACCGGGUGGGUGAAGAAGAGCUUCGGGUUGUAAAGCCCUUUUGUUGGGAAAGAAAAGCAGCGGGUUAAUACCCCGCUGUUCUGACGGUACCCAAAGAAUAAGCACCGGCUAACUUCGUG